UGGGGAAUAUUGGACAAUGGGGGAAACCCUGAUCCAGCAAUGCCGCGUGAGUGAAGAAGGCCUUAGGGUUGUAAAGCUCUUUCGCCCGCGACGAUGAUGACGGUAGCGGGAGAAGAAGCCCCGGCUAAUUCCGUGCCAGCAGCCGCGGUAAUACGGAAGGGGCGAGCGUUGUUCGGAAUCACUGGGCGUAAAGCGCGCGUAGGCGGCUUGGCAAGUGCGGCGUGAAAGUCCUGGGCUCAACCUGGGGACGGCGCUGCGGACUGCCUGGCUGGAGUCCGGAAGAGGGUGGUGGAAUUCCGAGUGUAGAGGUGAAAUUCGUAGAUAUUCGGAGGAACACCGGUGGCGAAGGCGGCCACCUGGUCCGGCACUGACGCUCAAGCGCGAAAGCGUGGGGGAGCAAACAGGAUUAGAUACCCUGGUAGUCCACGCCGUAAACGAUGGGUGCUAGAUGUCGGGGGGCUUGCCCUUCGGUGUCGGAGCUAACGCGUU
rnacentral:rRNA from 1 species